rnacentral:rRNA from 1 species
CCUACGGGAGGCAGCAGUGGGGGAUAUUGCACAAUGGGGGAAACCCUGAUGCAGCGACGCCGCGUGGGUGAAGAAGCGCCUCGGCGCGUAAAGCCCUGUCAGCAGGGAAGAAAAUGACGGUACCUGAAGAAGAAGCCCCGGCUAACUACGUGCCAGCAGCCGCGGUAAUACGUAGGGGGCAAGCGUUAUCCGGAUUUACUGGGUGUAAAGGGGGCGCAGACGGCGAUGCAAGCCAGGAGUGAAAGCCCGGGGCCCAACCCCGGGACUGCUCGUGGAACUGCGUGGCUAGAGUGCAGGAGGGGCAGGCGGAAGUCCUGGUGGAGCGGUGAAAUGCGUAGAUAUCAGGAGGAACACCGGUGGCGAAGGCGGCCUGCUGGACUGCAACUGACGUUGAGGCCCGAAAGCGUGGGGAGCAAACAGGAUUAGAUACCCCAGUAGUC